AUGUCCGGACCGAUAGUCAGUCGUGCGCAGACACCCGGCGGUGAUGUUCAAAUAGGUGUAACGUUGGGUUGUGUUAUCUGUAAUAGAACUGACAAGCUGUUAAGGUGUUCACGGUGCAAGGCCGUCUUUUAUUGUACCAAAGAACAUCAAAGGCGGGAUUGGAAACGUCACAAAGAAUUUUGUGCGACUCAUUCCGUGGAAUCGAUCGUAUCGGAUACUGUUUCGGUUGCUAGUCAAAAUUCCAUUUUAAAAUCCACUAAAAAAGAUUCUUCCGUAAGGAACUGCCACAAUUCAAUUGUACCAGUGGUUUCUAACCUAAGCGAAAAAUCGGUAUUAGAAACAACGCGAGAAUCGAGCACUGCUCCAGUGUAUAAUGACAGGAAACGUCUUGGAGGAACCAACAAACAGAUAGAAAAAGCAAAAGGACAAUCAGAUCGUAAGGAAAGCCAAAAUUCCAAGAGAAAAUCCAAUAACAUCAAAACAAAAGGUACUCGUACAAACAGAGUAGAUGGAUGGACUUCUCCCAUAACCUAUGAAGGAAGUUCUGAAGAUACGAUCUUAGGUGCCAGAACAGAAUCAUUGAAUCCUGCCUUAGAAGGUUCAAGAAUCUUAGAUAACUUACAAGACAAUGAAUUAAAUAUGCCAAUACAACAUCAUAACGGUAUGAAGACCUUCCCAGAGAUUCGUUUAACUCGUGAAGAAUUUCUACCAUCUUUCCUUCAUAAAAAUAAAAAUAAUCUUGAAGAAUUAAUAGACGAUAUAAGCAAAAAUGUGAUUAGAGACAUGGAUGAGUAUGGUAUGUGUGUGGUAGACAAUUUUCUAGGGACUGAAAAGGGUCUUGCAGUGUUAAACGAAGUUUUAAAUAUGUAUAGUGCUGGAUUAUUUAAGGAUGGACAAUUGGUUUCUAAUAAAGCAGGUGCAAAUGAUUUAAAGACAAUUCGUGGUGAUCAAAUAACGUGGCUUGAUGGAAAAGAAAAACAAUGUCAAAAUAUUGGAAUGCUCAUAUCCCAAGUUGAUGCUGUCAUUAUGAGGGCAAAUAAAAUGUGUAACAAUGGGAAAAUGGGAAACUACACAAUCAAUGGAAGGACAAAGGCGAUGGUGGCUUGUUAUCCUGGCUACGGUUCGCACUACGUGAAACAUGUGGAUAAUCCAAAUCGGGAUGGACGAUGCAUCACAGCCAUAUAUUAUCUUAAUCGAGAUUGGGAUAUCAAGCAAAAUGGUGGCCUCUUGAGGAUAUUUCCAGAAGGCUGGCGUGAUCAAGUAGCAGAUAUUGAACCUCUUUUCGACAGAAUAUUGUUCUUCUGGUCUGACAGGAGAAAUCCACACGAGGUUCAGCCAGCAUAUAAAACGAGAUAUGCAAUCACUCUAUGGUACUUCGAUGCGGAAGAAAGAAAUCAAGCUUGCCGAAGAUAUCAGAGAGAAAGAGAAUUAUACGCAAAGAAAGAAAGUUCGUGAGACAUGGAGUCUGAAGGACCGUUACACCGUCCGUCGACUGAAAUUGUAAUUUUAUUAGCUAAACUUAUACACCUGUACAUAGUUACACGAAAAAAGCAUUGCGCAGUGAAUUGAGAUAUGCCGGGGCCCAGUCAGUACCUGUAAUAUUGUUAUGUACAUUGUGAAGAGGAGGUAGAAACACAUGUGUUUAAUAUUGUAUGUAUCUAUUUAUAUAAAUCGAUAAGAAAAAAAUGAAAAAAAAGAAAAUUAAAUAAAUGCGUACUUCCUGUGUCCCAUAUAACAAUUUUGUUAAACCUGAGAAAGAAGAGUGUUAUAGGUAUAUUAUGUUGAUAAUAUUAAACACAUUUGAUCGUCAUUGAAACAUCACUAAUAACUUAUUCUUCAGUUACAUUACUAGAUAUGAAAACUCGAAAAAUUAUCCAAUAUCUCUAACGUAUGAUUAAAUUAUUUUCAAUGACUAAACGUAACUUAAUAUGGUCUUAUUUUAAUGAAGAUUGUUGAGGACAAAGUUACAAACCUUACAAAAGCUUGAAGUAUUGUAAAUUUGAUGAGAAUUUCGAUGUGAAAAUAAAUACUGUACAAAAUAAGCAUGCAAUUGUUCAUAGAAGGAUGAUAGAGUAAAUUAUUAUUAUUAUUACAUUUUA